CCUACGGGAGGCAGCAGUGGGGGAUAUUGCACAAUGGGGGAAACCCUGAUGCAGCGACGCCGCGUGUGGGAAGACGGACCUCUGGAUUGUAACCUCUUUCCCCAGGGGAGAAAAUGACGGUACCUGGGGAAGAAGCCCCGGCUAACUACGUUCCAGAAGCCGCGGUAAUACGUAGGGGGCAAGCGUUGUCCGGAAUUACUGGGUGAAAGGGGAGCGUAGGCGGGUUGGAAAGUUGAGUGGAAAAGCGUCGGGCUAAACUGGUAGUCGCACUCAAAACUGCUUUUCCUGAGUGAAGGAGAGGCAGGCGGAAUUCCUAGUGUAGCGGUGAAAUGCGUAGAUAUUAGGAGGAACACCAGUGGCGAAGGCGGCCUGCUGGACUUUUACUGACGCUGAGGCUCGAAAGUGUGGGGAGCAAACAGGAUUAGAUACCCCUGUAGUC
rnacentral:rRNA from 1 species